ACGGCUCAGUAACACGUCGGUAACCUGCCCUAAGGUCAGGGAUAACCUCGCGAAAGUGAGGGUAACACCUGAUAGGGAAAUUCGUCUGGAAGGACUUUUUCCCAGAAACUCGUGCCUUAGGAUGGGCCGGCGGCGGAUUAGGCUGUUGGCGGUGUAAUGGACCACCAAACCGAAGAUCCGUACGGGCCAUGAGAGUGGGAGCCCGGAGAGGGACACUGAGAUACUGGUCCCAGCCCUACGGGGUGCAGCAGGCGCGAAACCUUUUCAAUGCACGCAAGUGUGAGAAGGGAAUUCCAAGUGCUCAAGUUUUACUUGGGCUUUUGCCAAGUGUAAAAAGCUUGGCGAAUAAGGGGUGGGAAAGACUGGUGCCAGCCGCCGCGGUAACACCAGCGCCUCGAGUGGGGAUCACGAUUAUUGGGUCUAAAGCGUCCGUAGCAGGCUUUGUAAAUGCUUUGUGAAAUCGGCAGGCAUAACCUGUCGGCGUGCAGAGUACACUGCAGAGCUUGAGACCGGGAGAUGUCAGAAGUAUUCCUAGGGUACCGGUAAAAUGGGUUAAUCCUGGGAGGACUACCGAUGGCGAAGGCAUCUGACAAGAACGGUUCUGACUGUGAGGGACGAAAGCUAGGGGAGCAAAACGGAUUAGAUACCCGAGUAGUCCUAGCCGUAAACGCUGCGAGCAAGGUAUUGCGCCUCCCACGAGGAUGCGCAGUGUCGAAACGAAGGUGUUAAGCUCGCCACCAGGGAAGUACGGUCGCAAGGCUGAAACUUUAAGGAAUUGGCGGGGGAGCAC
rnacentral:rRNA from 1 species